UAAUUUAAUCAUAUAUUUUUGGAGAAGCUUCAAAGGAUCUUCAUGAAAUGAAGCAUAAUUCUGAGAUCUUCAACAGGAAAUUCUGUAUCGAAUAAAAGCAAACAUAUAGUAGCAAAAAUUAAGUAAAUCGAAUAUAAAUUAAUAACAAAAUUUGCCCUCGUUUACAAUUACCAAAGUUGGAAAAUUGUUCAUCAAUGCAAUUUAACAGCAAUUUUAAGGAAAAGAACGUAAACGCACAAAUGAACACAAUGUGAUGAAGUGGUUAUAACUGAGAAAUUGAGGACUACGAGAAUUUCUACCUUCUGAUUUCAUGGUUUUGGAGUUCCCUGCGAAGCAUCUUCAUCUGCUUAAAAUUUGUAGGAACAAUCGAUUGAAAUACAGACGAAAUUAGAAUUCUUGUUGCUGUUUUCUUCUUCUUCUUCUUAAAGACAGGUUUAUUAGGUGAUGUUUGAAGAAAUCAUACCACAAUAUCCUCUCCCUCUUCUUCUCCCUACUUUCUCUGUGUAAAUCUCUGCAAGGAGAGGGGUUGGGUGUCUCUUUUGUCCAUCCUCCACGUCUACUACUUUCUU
rnacentral:lncRNA from 1 species